AUGUCCAUGUCAUCAACCAACAAGCUAUCAUACAACUACUCCAAUGGGUUGUAUCUAAGGUAUCCAAUAGAUGAUGAGAAAAUAAAUGUGAUUGCUCUCUAUUUCAUCUUGGAGCUUGUGCAAAGAUUGUUGGUUAUUCUACAUACAACUUUGCUCUCUCUCCACAUUUAUUACAUGCCACAUCAUCAAUAUGUCCUAGGUGGCAAAUUUACCAACACCUAUCUUACAGCUGUUGGAGAUGCCCUUAUCUGCUUGCAUAUCUUAUCUGCUUGCAUAUCUGUGUCUCGGGUUGUGUUUGUAGAGUGGGUCAUUCAACCUAUGGACACAAAUGUUGUUUUUCUCUGUAAGAGGAAGAAAGAUCAAUAA
rnacentral:rRNA from 1 species